GCCGGCGCAGCCAUUAACUCCAAACUUAGAUAAAUGGCUCCACAUAAUUUUUGGACUUUUUAGCCAGUAACUCUAGGUUUAGAUAGCUAGCUAGCUGUUGCUUGCAAGGAGUGUGUUAAAAUUAUAUCGAUUUAAAGAAUACUAUUAUGGUUUCAUGAACUGAUAAAUUAGCGAUAUGGUCUGUUGGAAUUAGUUGGGAAAAAUGGUAUAAAAGCUGUUUAUGGGACUGUCAAUUUCCGCUAUCUUUGGCUUCACUUUUCCCAUAGGCCGAAUGACUGAAGUUCUUGUUCAAGAUACGUACAAAGCUCAAUGACAUACGCCCG